CAUUGAAAUCAUCAAUAAGUAUCUCUAUUUUUUUGAGAAGGGAAACAACCAAAUCACCGUCAAUACAAUCCAGGAUCUAAUGGAAUUAAUUACUACAGAGAUGCAAAGUGAUAAUGCGGCAACAGAUUCUGCUGCUGAAGCUUUCUUUGCAAGCACAUUGCGGUACAUCCAAUUCCAGAAACAAAAAGGUGGCGCAGUUAGUGAGAAAUAUGAACCUAAUGAGAACUGAAAAGUUAAAACUUGAGAAAGGGAAACAAACUCGGUAACAAUUGCUCUUCAAUCCGCUAAACUUGUGAGAAUUGUCGCCUUUGAUCUUGCUCUUGGGACUCUUGAAUGGUUCCCUCAUUUGUCUUUGAAUACGCUGACGCUGACGCUGCGUGCUACGUGUGUCAUGGGAAGUUGCUUAUCCAAGCAUGA